rnacentral:rRNA from 1 species
AGUGAACGCUGGCGGUAGGCCUAACACAUGCAAGUCGAACGGCAGCACAGUAAGAUCUUGCUCUUACGGGUGGCGAGUGGCGGACGGGUGAGGAAUACAUCGGAAUCUACUUUUUCGUGGGGGAUAACGUAGGGAAACUUACGCUAAUACCGCAUAUGACCUACGGGUGAAAGCAGGGGAUCUUCGCACCUUGCGCGAUUGAAUGAGCCGAUGCCGGAUUAGCUAGUUGGCGGGGUAAAGGCCCACCAAGGCGACGAUCCGUAGCUGAUCUGAGAGGAUGAUCAGCCACACUGGAACUGAGACACGGUCCAGACUCCUACGGGAGGCAGCAGUGGGGAAUAUUGGACAAUGGGCGCAAGCCUGACCCAGCCAUACCGCGUGGGUGAAGAAGGCCUUCGGGUUGUAAAGCCCUUUUGUUGGGAAAGAAAAGCAGCAGGUUAAUACGCCGCUGUUCUGACGGUACCCAAAGAAUAAGCACCGGCUAACUACGUG